CUGGAUGUUGACAUAGUCGUUCACUCUUGUGGCCUGCAUGUUCGGUCUCACUCUUCUUAAGCCUCAAAAUCCUGCACAACCCAAAUAGACAACAAAACUCGUGGAACAUGUUAAGGGUUAGGUAAUUGUCUAGAGCUUAUGAGAGCUUAAUAUGAGAAUUAUAUGAACUCAAUCACAUCAAGUUCCUCUACCAGGUUGUUUUGUGGCUCGAGAUAGAUUUUUAAGCGUUGACCAUUUACCUUAAAAGUGUUACCUAUGUCAUCUUGGAUG
rnacentral:lncRNA from 1 species